GAUGAACGCUGGCGGCGUGCCUAAUACAUGCAAGUCGAGCGAACAGACGAGGAGCUUGCUCCUCUGACGUUAGCGGCGGACGGGUGAGUAACACGUGGAUAACCUACCUAUAAGACUGGGAUAACUUCGGGAAACCGGAGCUAAUACCGGAUAAUAUAUUGAACCGCAUGGUUCAAUAGUGAAAGACGGUUUUGCUGUCACUUAUAGAUGGAUCCGCGCCGCAUUAGCUAGUUGGUAGGGUAACGGCUUACCAAGGCGACGAUGCGUAGCCGACCUGAGAGGGUGAUCGGCCACACUGGAACUGAGACACGGUCCAGACUCCUACGGGAGGCAGCAGUAGGGAAUCUUCCGCAAUGGGCGAAAGCCUGACGGAGCAAAGCCGCGUGAGUGAUGAAGGUCUUCGGAUCGUAAAACUCUGUUAUUAGGGAAGAACAAAUGUGUAAGUAACUAUGCACGUCUUGACGGUACCUAAUCAGAAAGCCACGGCUAACUACGUG
rnacentral:rRNA from 1 species